UACGUAGGUGGCAAGCGUUGUUCGGAAUUAUUGGGCGUAAAGGGCGCGUAGGCGGUUUGUUAAGUCAGCGGUGAAAGCUCGGGGCUCAACCCCGAGUCGGCCGUCGAUACUGUUGGGCUCGAGCACUGUAGAGGCAGGUGGAAUUCCGGGUGUAGCGGUGGAAUGCGUAGAGAUCAGGAGGAACACCCGUGGCGAAGGCGGCACUCUGGGUCGGUCCUGACGCUGAGGCGCGAAAGCGUGGGGAGCGAACGGG
rnacentral:rRNA from 1 species